rnacentral:lncRNA from 1 species
UAGGAUUUGGAUUAAGAUUUGGUUAGGGUUUUGUUUAGGGUUUAGGGUUUGGUUUAGGAUUUGAUUAGGAUUUGAUUUAGAAUUUAGGAUUUUUAUUAGGAUUUGAUUAGGGUUUGGUUUAGGAUUUAAGGUUUGUAUUAGGAUUUAGUUAGGAUUUUAUUUAGGAUUUGAAAUAGGAUUUGUUUAGAAUUUGAUUUAGGAUUUAGGAUUUAGAGAUUUGAUUUAGAGUUUGGUUAGGAUUUGAUUUAAGGUUUGGUUUAGGAUUUGGUUGAAAAUUGAUUUAAGAUUUGUUUAGGGUAUGAUUCAGGGUUUAGGAUUUUAUUAGGAUUUAAGAUUUGUUUAGGAUAUGAUUCAGGGUCUAGGAUUUUAUUAGGAUUUAAGAUUCAAUUAAUUUUGGCCUAAAGUUUGAAUGAAGUUCAAUAGGAUUUUAACUAGAAUUAAAUUAAGAUUGAAUUGAGAUGUAUUUGAGUGAUAUUUGUGAUCCUUCUAAUAUUUCUUUAAGAAUUCUUAUUUUUUGUUUGAAAUUUCUUUGAGGUUUUUUUGAAUUUGAUUAAGCUUGCUUAGCAUUAUUAUGAGCUAAUUAGAGUAUUGUUAGUAUUCUAUUAGAAUUAAGAUUUUAUUAUUGUAAUUUCCAUUCUUCUUUCCACAGCCAGGUAUCCAAAGCAUUCUCAAGCAAG